rnacentral:rRNA from 1 species
UACGUAGGGGCCUAGCGUUGUCCGGAUUUAUUGGGCGUAAAGAGCUCGUAGGCGGUUUGUCGCGUCUGCUGUGAAAACGCGGGGCUCAACUCUGCGCCUGCAGUGGGUACGGGCAGACUAGAGUGCAGUAGGGGAGACUGGAAUUCCUGGUGUAGCGGUGAAAUGCGCAGAUAUCAGGAGGAACACCGGUGGCGAAGGCGGCCCACUGGUCCGGUACUGACGCUGAGGUGCGAAAGCGUGGGGGAGCAAACAGG